rnacentral:rRNA from 1 species
CUUUCUUUGCUGGCGACCGACGCACGGGUGAGUAACACGUAUCCAACCUGCCCUUUACUCGGGGAUAGCCUUUCGAAAGAAAGAUUAAUACCCGAUAGCAUAAUGAUUCCGCAUGGUUUCAUUAUUAAAGGAUUCCGGUAAAGGAUGGGGAUGCGUUCCAUUAGGUUGUUGGUGAGGUAACGGCCACCAAGCCUUCGAUGGAUAGGGGUUCUGAGAGGAAGGUCCCCCACAUUGGAACUGAGACACGGUCCAA